UUCAUGUCACAUUGACUGGCGCCCCAAGACAAUCAAGUGGACCUGUUCCACAGCACCCCGGGGACGCUCUGCGCGGGACCCUGAGGCGGUAGUGAUUGGUCUUAAAUGAAGAAUAAGAUAGAGGAAUCCAAAAAAGAGAAGACAUUAAGCAUGAAGGGAGAGUUGGAACCAAAGAUGCUAGUAAAAUCAGCUUCUGUUGUUGGAUCAAGCUUGCAUAA